CUACGGGCCGCACCAGUGGGGAAUAUUGCACAAUGGGGGAAACCCUGAUGCAGCCAUGCCGCGUGUGUGAAGAAGGCUUUCGGGUUGUAAAGCACUUUCAGCGAGGAGGAAAGGGUGCAAGUUAAUACCUUGUAUCUGUGACGUUACUCGCAGAAGAAGCACCGGCUAACUCCGUGCCAGCAGCCGCGGUAAUACGGAGGGUGCGAGCGUUAAUCGGAAUUACUGGGCGUAAAGCGCGCGUAGGCGGUUAAUUAAGUCAGAUGUGAAAGCCCAGGGCUCAACCUUGGAACUGCAUUUGAAACUGGUUAACUAGAGUUUUGUAGAGGGUGGUAGAAUUUCAGGUGUAGCGGUGAAAUGCGUAGAGAUCUGAAGGAAUACCAGUGGCGAAGGCGGCCACCUGGACAAAGACUGACGCUGAGGCGCGAAGGCGUGGGGAGCAAACGGGAUUAGAUACCCCAGUAGUC
rnacentral:rRNA from 1 species